UAACCGUGCGAAGGUAGCGUAAUCACUUGUUCUUUAAAUGAGGACUAGUAUGAAUGGCCCCACGAGGGCUGCACUGUCUCCUUUCUCUAAUCAAUGAAACUAAUCUCCCCGUGAAGAAGCGGGGAUAGCCCUAUAAGACGAGAAGACCCUAUGGAGCUUUAAACAACUGAAAUACUUGCUUUUUCCUCAACCUCUUCCGAGCUCUUUAUUUUACUUAAGCAAUUUUAUUUCUAGUUUUAGGUUGGGGUGACCACGGAGCAAAACUAAACCUCCGCGAAGAAAUGAAUUCUUUUUAAGCCACAAACUACUUUUUUAAGCAUCAACAAAUUGACCUUCAUUGACCCAAUAUAUUGAUCAACGAACCAAGUUACCCUAGGGAUAACAGCGCAAUCUACUUCAAGAGCUCAUAUCGACAAGUAGGUUUACGACCUCGAUGUUGGAUCAGGGUAUCCUAGUGG
rnacentral:rRNA from 1 species